rnacentral:tRNA from 1 species
AAGACUCUAGUUAAUACAUAACAUGGCUCUGUCAGCGCCAAAUAACAGAUAAUCACUCCUGUGGGACUUA